rnacentral:rRNA from 1 species
UUGCUAUUUGCACUAAAGGUUUUAGUGUAAAAUCGACUUUGUCGAAUAAAAUUCUGGAUAGAAUUAUGAUAAUGACAUUACCUAUCCAUAAGUCUUGACCAAAUUACGUGCCAGCAGUCGCGGUAAUACGUAGAAGACAAGUGUUAUUCAUCUUUAAUAGGUUUAAAGGGUACUUAGACGGUAAAUAAAGCCUCCAAAAGGGACUAAUUUGCUAGAGUUUUAUAUGAAGGAGUUUUAAAGUACUACUGGUGUAGAGAUGAAAUUCAGUUAUACCUUACAUGGCACAGGUUAAGGCGAAAGCAUCUUCUUAUGUAAAAACUGACGUUGAAGGACGAAGGCUUUGUGUCUCGAACAGGAUUAGAUACCCUAGUAGUCUAAGCAGAAAAUGAUGAAUGUCAUAGAUUAGAUUUAAUUUGAUCUGUAAAUGAAAGUGUAAGCAUUCCACCUCAAGAGUAAUUUGGCAACAUUGGAACUGAAAUCAUUAGACCGUUUCUGAAACCAGUAGUGAAGUAUGUUGUUUAAUUUGAUAAUCCGCAAAAAACCUUACCACAAUUUGAAUAGAUAUAUUUUAUCAUACAAGCGUUGCACGGCUGUCUUCAGUUAAUGUCGUGAGACUUUGGUUAGUUCCAUUAAAUUAACGUAAACCCUUACUUUAUUUUUAUAUAAAGUAGUUCACCGCUAUAUUGGAUGUGAUAAUAGGGAUCAAGACAAGUCAUCAUGACCUAAAUAUUGUGGGCUAUAGACGUGCCACAUAUGCCUUACAAAGGGAUGCU